rnacentral:rRNA from 1 species
UACAGAGGGUGCAAACGUUGUUCGGAAUUACUGGGCAUAAAGCGCGCGUAGGCGGCCAUGUAAGUGUGGAGUGAAAUCCCACGGCUCAAUCGUGGAAUUGCUUGGCAUACUGCAUGGCUCGAGGACGGUAGGGGAGAGCGGAACUCCUGGUGGAGCGGUGAAAUGCGUAGAUAUCUGGAGGAACACCGGUGGCGAAGGCGGCAUUCUGGACCGACAUUGACGCUGAGGAGCGAAAGCCAGGGGAGCAAACGGGAUUAGAUACCCCGGUAGUCCUGGCCCUAAACGAUGAAUGCUUGGUGUAGCGGGUAUCGAUCCCUGCUGUGCCGAAGCUAACGCAUUAAGCAUUCCGCCUGGGGAGUACGGUCGCAAGGCUGAA